AAGGAAAAAAAAAAAUCUCAAAAAUGUCACUUCUCUUUUUACUAGCUUUGUUUUACAACGGCGAUGAAAAUGUUUGGUACAAUCAUCCACCUGAAUACAACUUGCCGGACAAUGGCGACGACUCCUCGGACGAAGACGAUGACGACUUGUAGGUGAAUUAUCAACAAAAUAAACAAAAUAGUUGUAGGUGAAUUAUCAACAAAAUAAACAAAGAAUUAUUAUACUACAAAGUAGUUGUCAUACUACAAGAACUACUACAGUAAAUCAGUUAUUGUUUCACCGAGUUUUGAUAUCGAUUGUGUUUCAUAAGAAAAUCCUUCAUCAUC
rnacentral:lncRNA from 1 species